UGCAAGUCGAACGAGAUCUUCGGAUCUAGUGGCGGACGGGUUAGUAACGCGUGGGGAUGUACCCAAAGGUAUGGAAUAGUCCCGGGAAACUGGGUUUAAUACCAUAUGUGCCCUUAGGGGGAAAGAUUUUUCGCCUUUGGAUCAACCCGCGUUGGAUUAGGUAGUUGGUGGGGUAAUGGCCUACCAAGCCGACGAUCCAUAGCUGGUUUGAGAGGAUGAUCAGCAACACUGGGACUGAGACACGGCCCAGACUCCUACGGGAGGCAGCAGUGGGGAAUCUUAGACAAUGGGGGAAACCCUGAUCUAGCCAUGCCGCGUGGACGAUGAAGGCCUUAGGGUUGUAAAGUCCUUUCAGUCGUGAAGAUAAUGACGGUAGCGACAGAAGAAGCCCCGGCUAACUCCGUGCCAGCAGCCGCGGUAAUACGGAGGGGGCUAGCGUUGUUCGGAAUUACUGGGCGUAAAGCGCACGUAGGCGGACUAAUAAGUCGAGGGUGAAAUCCCGGGGCUCAACCCCGGAACUGCCUCCGAUACUGUUAGUCUUGAGUUCGAGAGAGGUGAGUGGAAUUCCGAGUGUAGAGGUGAAAUUCGUAGAUAUUCGGAGGAACACCAGUGGCGAAGGCGGCUCACUGGCUCGAUACUGACGCUGAGGUGCGAAAGUGUGGGGAGCAAACAGGAUUAGAUACCCUGGUAGUCCACACCGUAAACGAUGAAUGCCAGUCGUCGGGCAGUAUACUGUUCGGUGACACACCUAACGGAUUAAGCAUUCCGCCUGGGGAGUACGGUCGCAAGAUUAAAACUCAAAGGAAUUGACGGGGG
rnacentral:rRNA from 1 species